rnacentral:rRNA from 1 species
GACAGAGGAUGCAAGCGUUAUCCGGAAUGAUUGGGCGUAAAGCGUCUGUAGGUGGCUUUUUAAGUCCGCCGUCAAAUCCCAGGGCUCAACCCUGGACAGGCGGUGGAAACUACCAAGCUGGAGUACGGUAGGGGCAGAGGGAAUUUCCGGUGGAGCGGUGAAAUGCGCAGAUAUCGGGAGGAACACCAGUAGCGAAGGCGACACUCUGGGCCGGUACUGACGCUGAGGAGCGAAAGCGUGGGGAGCAAACAGG